AAACUCUUGUUUUUUUGGUGGCAUUAUCUGAGUGGCGAAAGCAAAUAAAAUCAAAACUCUGAACAACGGAUCUCUUGGUUCUGGCAUCGAUGAAGAACGCAGCGAAAUGCGAUAAGUAAUGUGAAUUGCAGAAUUCAGUGAAUCAUCGAAUCUUUGAACGCACAUUGCGCCCGCUAGUAUUCUAGCGGGCAUGCCUGUUCGAGCGUCAUUU
rnacentral:rRNA from 3 species